rnacentral:rRNA from 1 species
UACGAAGGGGGCUAGCGUUGCUCGGAAUUACUGGGCGUAAAGCGCACGUAGGCGGCUUUCUAAGUCGGGGGUGAAAUCCUGGAGCUCAACUCCAGAACUGCCUCGAUACUGGAGAGCUCGAGUCCGGGAGAGGUGAGUGGAACUGCGAGUGUAGAGGUGAAAUCGUAGAUAUUCGCAAGAACACCAGUGGCGAAGGCGGCUCACUGGCCCGGUACUGACGCUGAGGUGCGAAAGCGUGGGGAGCAAACAGG